UAAUACGAAGGAUCCAAGCGUUGUCCGGAUUUACUGGGUUUAAAGGGUGCGUAGGCGGACUUUUAAGUCAGUGGUGAAAGCUUGCAGCUUAACUGUAAAAUUGCCAUUGAAACUGAAAGUCUCGAGUGUGGUUGAGGUAACUGGAAUAUAUCAUGUAGCGGUGAAAUGCUUAGAUAUGAUAUAGAACACCAAUUGCGAAGGCAGGUUACUGAGCCACAACUGACGCUGAGGCACGAAAGCGUGGGGAUCAAACAGGAUUAGAUACCCUGGUAGUCCACGCCGUAAACGUUGAAUACUCGAUCUUAGCGAUACACAGUUAGGAUCCAAGCGAAAGCGUUAAGUAUUCCACCUGGGAAGUACGUUCGCAAGAAUG
rnacentral:rRNA from 1 species